GGCAUCCUACGGGAGGCAGCAGUAGGGAAUCUUCCACAAUGGGCGCAAGCCUGACCCAGCAACGCCGCGUGAAGGAAGAAGGCCCUCGGGUUGUAAACUUCUUUUAUUCGGGACGAAACAAAUGACGGUACCGAAUGAAUAAGCCACGGCUAACUACGUGCCAGCAGCCGCGGUAAUACGUAGGUGGCAAGCGUUAUCCGGAUUUACUGGGUGUAAAGGGCGUGUAGGCGGGAGAGCAAGUCAGACGUGAAAUUCCAGGGCUCAACCCUGGAACUGCGUUUGAAACUGUUCUUCUUGAGUGAUGG
rnacentral:rRNA from 1 species